rnacentral:tRNA from 1 species
UUAAAGAUCAGCUAUACAAUAAGCUAGUGGGCCCAUAACCCAACAAAGGAGAAAUUUCCUCUUUAUA